rnacentral:rRNA from 1 species
GACGAACGCUGGCGGCGUGCCUAAUACAUGCAAGUCGAACGCUUCUUUCCUCCCGAGUGCUUGCACUCCAUUGGAAAGAGGCGUGGCGGACGGGUGAGUAACACGUGGGUAACCUACCCAUCAGAGGGGGAUAACACUUGGAAACAGGUGCUAAUACCGCAUAACAGUUUAUGCCGCAUGGCAUAAGAGUGAAAGGCGCUUUCGGGUGUCGCUGAUGGAUGGACCCGCGGUGCAUUAGCUAGUUGGUGAGGUAACGGCUCACCAAGGCCACGAUGCAUAGCCGACCUGAGAGGGUGAUCGGCCACACUGGGACUGAGACACGGCCCAGACUCCUACGGGAGGCAGCAGUAGGGAAUCUUCGGCAAUGGACGAAAGUCUGACCGAGCAACGCCGCGUGAGUGAAGAAGGUUUUCGGAUCGUAAAACUCUGUUGUUAGAGAAGAACAAGGACGUUAGUAACUGAACGUCCCCUGACGGUAUCUAACCAGAAAGACACGGCUAACUACGUG